rnacentral:rRNA from 1 species
GACGAACCGUGCGAACGUUAUUCGGAAUCACUGGGCUUAAAGGGCGCGUAGGCGGGUCCGUAAGUCAGGGGUGAAAUCUUUCGGCUCAACCGGAAAAGUGCCUUUGAUACUGGUGGUCUCGAGGGAGGUAGGGGCAUGCGGAACUUCCGGUGGAGCGGUGAAAUGCGUAGAUAUCGGAAGGAACGCCGGUGGCGAAAGCGGCGUGCUGGACCUCUUCUGACGCUGAGGCGCGAAAGCUAGGGGAGCAAACGGG